rnacentral:tRNA from 1 species
CGGGGUGUAGCGCAGCCUGGUAGCGCAGCUGCUUUGGGAGCAGCGGGUCGCUGGUUCAAAUCCAGUCACCCCGACCA